CCCCCUCUGGCAUACAUGUCCAUCAAGCUAUUGUAGGUGAAGAGAUCUGGCUGCAACCCACUCUCAUGAAUCAAAUGCAGCAUUUCAUGAGCUCGCUUAUACAUCUUGUUCUUUGUAAAAAUUGAAAGCAUAGAAUUAAAUAAAACUAAAUCAGGUUUGUAACCAUAUUUUUGCAAUGCCUUAAAUGCCCUUUCCGUUCCCAUUAGUGACCUACACUUGAAGUUUGCAAGAACAAGGGUUCUCAAAAGC
rnacentral:misc_RNA from 1 species